GGUAGCGUGGCCGAGCGGAUCUAGAGGCGCUGGAUUAAGGCUCCAGCUCUUCGGGGCGUGGGUUCGAAUCCCACCGCUGCCA